AUGGUGUGGAUCUGGAGCAAAACGCGAUGGCGGCGAAGCUUCUCUGCCAUGGCGGCUCGACUGGGUUCCUGCGCUGGAAGGGGAGAGAGAGACGAGGGAGGAGAUAGACAUGAGAAGAUAAGAAGGAAGAUGAAGGAGGAAAGGGAGGGAGAAGGCAGGGAAGAGGGCGGCGGUCGCGAAGCUAUACUGCCAUGGCGGCUCGGCUGA
rnacentral:rRNA from 1 species